rnacentral:lncRNA from 1 species
GGGAUUUGGGGAGAAUUUUUGGGAAUUUUGGGAGUUUUUGGGGAAUUUGGGGGGGAAAUCAGAGAAUUUUGGGAAAAUCUGGAAAUAUUUGAGGAAUUUGGGGAAUAUUUGGGAAUUUGGGGCUGAAUUUUGGGGGGGUUUGGCUGAAUUUUAGGGAAAAUUUGGGAAUUUUUUUGAAUUUUGGGAAAAUUCGGUAAUUUGGGAGGAAUUUUCAGGGAUUUUGGGAAAUUUCAGGGAUUUGGGAGGAUUUGAGGGAAUUUUCAGGGAUUUGGGGGGAUUUUGGGAGAAUUUUGAGUGGAUUUGGGCUCGCCCUUCCCCUUACUCCUCCCAAAAAUCCCCUCAGGGCCCCCAAAAACUUCUCAGGGAAUUUAAUUCCAUUUUUAAUUUCCAGUUUUUCCUCAAAAACCUUGACAUUUGUUCUAAAAUUCCCUUUAAAUUGUAUCUUACCCUUUUUAUCUCACAGACUUCUCCUUUUUCCCAUGUUUUGCUGUUCUUCCCUCAAAAAACACAUUUUUAUCCCUUUUCUCAUCACAAAAUUAAUCCUUUCUCUAUUUUUGGUCACUUUUUCUUCAAAAAAUACCUAUUUAUUCUCUUUUUUCUCCCACAAACACCACUUUUUCCCCACUUUUGCAUUUUUCUCUCAAAAAAUACAUUUUUAGCUUUUUUUCCCUCACAAACGGUGCCAUUUUUUCCCCUUGGUGCUGUUUUAAUCUUAUUUUUUCCGAUAUUCCUGAUUCCUUAUCUUUUUCCGGAGUUCUCAGUUUUCCCUCCUAAUUCCCAUUUUCCCUUUCCCCAUUUUUCCCAUUUGCCCCCAUUUUCCCCUCAUUUUUCCCAUUUUCCCCUCAUUUUCCCCAUUUUCCCACAUUUUUUCUCAUUUCUUCCUCUUUUUCCCCAUUUUCCCCCAUUUUUCUUUCAUUUCCCCCCAUUUUUUCCCUUUUUCUCCUCAUUUUUCCUCAUUUCCCCCCAUUUUUCCCCAUUUCCCCCAUUUUUUCCCAUUUUUCCCUCAUUUCCCCUCAUU